UGCCUUUUUGUCCCUGGCAAUCGAGUACCAUGGGACUUAAAACACUGCAACAAGCUACUUUUAGCUACUGAAAGCAACUCCCAACUUUUCUGUUUGAAGAAUAUGGCAAGUUUUCAAGUGCAGGAGUAAAUUUAU